AAUAGAUACCCGGGUAGUCCACGCCGUAAACGAUGAGUGCUAAGUGUUAGAGGGUUUCCGCCCUUUAGUGCUGCAGCUAACGCAUUAAGCACUCCACCUGGGGAGUACGGCCGCAAGGCUGAAACUCAAAGGAAUUGACGGGGGCCCGCACAAGCGGUGGAGCAUGUGGUUUAAUUCGAAGCAACGCGAAGAACCUUACCAGGUCUUGACACCCUCUGACAACCCUAGAGAUAGGGCUUUCCCCCUUCGGGGGACAGAGUGACAGGUGGUGCAUGGUUGUCGUCAGCUCGUGUCGUGAGAUGUUGGGUUAAGUCCCGCAACGAGCGCAACCCUUGAUCUUAGUUGCCAGCAUUCAGUUGGGCACUCUAAGGUGACUGCCGGUGACAAACCGGAGGAAGGUGGGGAUGACGUCAAAUCAUCAUGCCCCUUAUGACCUGGGCUACACACGUGCUACGAUGGAUGGUACAAAGGGCCGCAAACCUGCGAAGGUAAGCGAAUCCCAUAAAGCCAUUCUCAGUUCGGAUUGCAGGCUGCAACCG
rnacentral:rRNA from 1 species